UACGAGGGGGGCUAGCGUUGCUCGGAAUCACUGGGCGUAAAGGGUGCGUAGGCGGGUCUUUAAGUCAGGGGUGAAAUCCUGGAGCUCAACUCCAGAACUGCCUUUGAUACUGAAGAUCUUGAGUUCGGGAGAGGUGAGUGGAACUGCGAGUGUAGAGGUGAAAUUCGUAGAUAUUCGCAAGAACACCAGUGGCGAAGGCGGCUCACUGGCCCGAUACUGACGCUGAGGCACGAAAGCGUGGGGAGCAAACAGG
rnacentral:rRNA from 1 species